rnacentral:rRNA from 1 species
GGGUUGUGAGGUUAAGCGACUAAGCGUACACGGUGGAUGCCCUGGCAGUCAGAGGCGAUGAAGGACGUGCUAAUCUGCGAAAAGCGCCGGCGAGGUGAUAUGAACCCUUGACCCGGCGAUGUCCGAAUGGGGAAACCCAGUGUGAUUCGUCACACUAUCGUUAACUGAAUACAUAGGUUAACGAGGCGAACCGGGGGAACUGAAACAUCUAAGUACCCCGAGGAAAAGAAAUCAACCGAGAUUCCCCCAGUAGCGGCGAGCGAACGGGGAGCAGCCCAGAGUCUGAAUCAGCUUGUGUGUUAGUGGAAGCGUCUGGAAAGUCGCACGGUACAGGGUGACAGUCCCGUACACGAAAAUGCACAGGCUGUGAACUCGAAGAGUAGGGCGGGACACGUGGUAUCCUGUCUGAAUAUGGGGGGACCAUCCUCCAAGGCUAAAUACUCCUGACUGACCGAUAGUGAACCAGUACCGUGAGGGAAAGGCGAAAAGAACCCCGGCGAGGGGAGUGAAAAAGAACCUGAAACCGUGUACGUACAAGCAGUGGGAGCACCUUCGUGGUGUGACUGCGUACCUUUUGUAUAAUGGGUCAGCGACUUAUAUUCUGUAGCAAGGUUAACCGUAUAGGGGAGCCGAAGGGAAACCGAGUCUUAACUGGGCGUUAAGUUGCAGGGUAUAGACCCGAAACCCGGUGAUCUAGCCA